AGCAGUCGCCGCGGUAAUACGUAGGUCCCGAGCGUUGUCCGGAUUUAUUGGGCGUAAAGCGAGCACAGGCGGUUAGAUAAGUCUGAAGUUAAAGGCUGUGGCUUAACCAUAGUACGCUUUGGAAACUGUUUAACUUGAGUGCAAGAGGGGAGAGUGGAAUUCCAUGUGUAGCGGUGAAAUGCGUAGAUAUAUGGAGGAACACCGGUGGCGAAAGCGGCUCUCUGGCUUGUAACUGACGCUGAGGCUCGAAAGCGUGGGGAGCAAACAGGAUUAGAUACCCCGGUAGUCCCUGUCUCUUAUACA
rnacentral:rRNA from 1 species